rnacentral:rRNA from 1 species
CCUACGGGUGGCAGCAGUGAGGAAUAUUGGUCAAUGGGCGCGAGCCUGAACCAGCCAAGUCGCGUGAGGGAUGACGGUCCUACGGAUUGUAAACCUCUUUUGCCGGGGAGCAAGCGUGCGUGCGUGAACGCGCGCCGAGAGUACCCGGCGAAAAAGCAUCGGCUAACUCCGUGCCAGCAGCCGCGGUAAUACGAAGGAUGCGAGCGUUAUCGGGAUUUAUUGGGUUUAAGGGGUGCGUAGGCGGGAUGCCAAGUCAGCGGUAAAAACGCGGGGCUCAACGGCGGAGAGCCGUUGAAACUGGCGUUCUUGAGGGGGCGAGAAGUAUGCGGAAUGCGUGGUGUAGCGGUGAAAGGCAUAGAUAUCACGAGGAACUCCGAUUGCGAAGGCAGCAUCCCGGCGGCCUACUGACGCUGAGGCACGAAAGCGUGGGUAUCGAACAGGAUUAGAUACCCGAGUAGUC